UCUCUCUCUCUCUCUCUCUCUCUCUCUCCGUCUCUCUCUCCUUAAGAUGAAUUCCACAGCCAUUUUCUAUAGGGUUUGAUCUGCCUUCACAAUUCCUUUAUUGUGACAGAUUGAAGAUUCAGAGGCUCAAUCAAAGGCGCAAGGUGUAAAUUGCUUCGCUCCCAAGAGUUGUAGAUUAUUUGGGGUUGCUGCAGGCUUGUCCGUUGUUGCUUCUCGUUUUCACUAAGGUGUUUCAUGGGAUCCUAAUACCAACAAAGUUAAUGCUGCAGAGGAAGUUUAGCAAUACUUUUACACGAUUACAAAAUGUUCAAGAGGGAAGGAUGUAAGUAUUACCACACUCUUGAGGAGAUAUUUAGCGGGACUACAGCUACUGGAGAAUUAGGCAAUGCCUCCACUCAGCUCUCAAACUCAUCAGAGGAAGAAAGGCAGCUGGAAGAUUAUUUUUGAAUAUGGGAGUGCAUGUAUGUGUGGAUCAUGACGAUGAAGUCGAUAAGGUUUCAAAUACUCGUUGACGUGAGAAAAUUGGUACAUCGGAAGAAUGCCGAUGUAAGGAACCUAAAAUAAGUAAAAGUGAUAGACUUAAGGCCUGCAUGGCACAGUGGUCAUCUACAGUUAGUAUGAGGAAUGAAGAAACUGAACUUGGAACACUUUACCUGAAAUAAAAGCUUACAAAGAUCCAAUGAAAAUCAUGUAAUCAAUUGGAUAGUCAAGUUAAUAGUCCGGAUUCUUAUUCAACUGUUAUUUACUUAGACAUUUAAACAAUAUGGAAUUGGUGUCCAAUGAGGUUUAUAUGAAAGCAAUGACGACUUUUAAAGAUCCCAAUUUCAGGGUGUCAUUUAUGAAAAUGUCAAGGGCAAGGAGAGGACUUAUCCUAGAAUUACUUGGAUAUGAUCGUCAUUUUGAUUUCUCUAGUAUCUUGUUGUUUUCCAUUCUCAUUAUGUUGAAGGUUGAAUAACUGUGUUAUUUUCACAUCUUUAAGUACUUUUUUCUAUUUUUGGUGAUGUUGUACUGUUUCAUUUAUGAACUUAGUAAUGUUGUUGGUUGUAUAACUGAUGAUGUUAAUUUUUCAUUUUAAUUUC